AUGUUCAACCUUUCCUUAAACACCCCCAGGGAUGGUGACGCCACCAUCUCCGUGGGCAACCCAUUCCAAUGCCUGAGUGCUCUUUCUGAGAAGAAAUGGCUCCUAAUUUCCAACCUAAACCUUCCCUGGUACAACUUGAGGUUAUUCCCUUUAGUCCUAUCACUAGUUGCCUGUGAGAAGAGGCUAACCCCCAGCUUCCCACAACUUCCUUUCAGAGAACAUCUUAUUGGAAAACCUGAAGCUGAUCCUGCUGCAUCUUUGAAGAGAUUACAAACAGCAUUAUAUCCAGCUGCAACUUGCAUCCCUCACCUUCCAACCCAGAAAGGACUGACCUAGGACCAAAAGAGGGUUAAUGAUUCUCCAUUCCAAGGGGAAGUAAGUUCUCUCAAUUCUCUCAGAGAAAUAAGCAUAUAAUGUCCAAGAUAGUUAUCUUAUGAUGAGACAUAUGACUUACUGAGAAAUAUCCCUCUCUCUUCUUUAAUAUGAGAUGUAGAUUAUAUGAAAAAUUUAGAACAAACACCUAAUUUUUAAGAUAAUGAAGUCCCAAUUAAAAUGCCUAGGUUUGUUUUGAAAAUUGGGAUAGAUUUCUAAAGUAUAUAGAUGAUACCGGC
rnacentral:lncRNA from 1 species